AUAUACAUACACAUACACAUACACAUACACAUAAACACACACAUGCAAUGUAUGUUCUGAUUCUUGUCUUUCUCACAACCAACAACGAAUUAUCUUAAACAACCAAUAGGAUAUAAGCUUAUUGCAAGCCCAUAAUGAUCGAUAUACGUCAUCCUCAUUGUAUCAGAGUUUGAAUUUUAUAGGGCCUCUGUAAUUAAGUUCCAGCAUAGAACGAAACUUAAUAUGCGUUCAUGUAUUGUACUGUUUUUGUAACGUAUUCAACACAUUUUUGAUCUCACGUGGCGGAGUCUAUGCGCGUGCGCAAAGCGAAAGUGCACAUGCUAGCACAGGUAACCGCCGUAGCCGAUGGAAGACAGCGAGGCAGAGACGAAGAACUUCACGUCUUCAUGAUCUGGCAGCACAAUUAGAUGUUGAAACACUACAGUAGAAAAGAACUGAUGGAGAAGAAACCUGCUGUGAAGGAUACAGUGGAAAGGUGGCCAGCACUCUUUAUGGAGUGUCAGAUUCUGGCAGAGUUCACUCUUAUAUCUGGCAAAGACCUACAAACCGAAUUAUUUCUAGAACUGGACCGUUGACAUCUCAGAGCCGAAGGGGGAGACAUUGGCUCUAAACUUAAGAAGAUUCUGCAACAGAAUUUCAACAUUCAACAUUGAAAAUAAUAAAUCUGAUAUCAUUGGGAGAUGCAGUUCUUCAUGGCCUUCCACUCCUCCUCGGAGAAGACCCCACUGAUUUUUACAAGACAUGUAUUGACUAUGAUGAUGAAGGCAAUUCAAGCGGCAUAUUGACAUUGAACCCUAAGGACUGUGAAACCAUACCUAACUCGCUGAACCUUGACGCCACAUCCACUGCCAUCUUUUUGGAAGGUACAAGUCUAAUGGAAGAAAUCUUACCCAAGCCAUGUGCCUCCUUUUUGGGCUCUUUAAUGCUCUGAAUUUAGAGUACCCUCCAGUAAUGAAGAACAACUUUGAUUUCAUCCAGGCGGUGAUUUUGUCACUCGGGCACAAGUCUCUGAAACUUAAAAUACUAUCUCUGAAACAUAUUCUAAUGCAGUAACGUCACUUUUCUCCAAUUCUACAUUUAACGUUUUGUGAAGAAGUUACAUUGAUCUUUUGUCUUUCCAGAGUGCAAUACAGUAUGUGCAUUUAUCUCAGAAUUGUUGACUGAUGUAAGAAGGACUUGAAUGAACAUUUUUGUUAAUGUUUUAUAGAAAUAAAUGACUUUGUUGUUGUGCCAACGAUCUGUUGU